CGGAAAGGCCCUUCGGGGUACUCGAGUGGCGAACGGGUGAGUAACACGUGGGCAAUCUGCCCUGCACACCGGGAUAAGCCUGGGAAACUGGGUCUAAUACCGGAUAGGACCACUUGGCGCAUGCCUUGUGGUGGAAAGCUUUUGCGGUGUGGGAUGGGCCCGCGGCCUAUCAGCUUGUUGGUGGGGUGACGGCCUACCAAGGCGACGACGGGUAGCCGGCCUGAGAGGGUGUCCGGCCACACUGGGACUGAGAUACGGCCCAGACUCCUACGGGAGGCAGCAGUGGGGAAUAUUGCACAAUGGGCGCAAGCCUGAUGCAGCGACGCCGCGUGGGGGAUGACGGCCUUCGGGUUGUAAACCUCUUUCACCAUCGACGAAGGUCCGGGUUGUCUCGGAUUGACGGUAGGUGGAGAAGAAGCACCGGCCAACUACGUGCCAGCAGCCGCGGUAAUACGUAGGGUGCGAGCGUUGUCCGGAAUUACUGGGCGUAAAGAGCUCGUAGGUGGUUUGUCGCGUUGUUCGUGAAAUCUCACGGCUUAACUGUGAGCGUGCGGGCGAUACGGGCAGACUAGAGUACUGCAGGGGAGACUGGAAUUCCUGGUGUAGCGGUGGAAUGCGCAGAUAUCAGGAGGAACACCGGUGGCGAAGGCGGGUCUCUGGGCAGUAACUGACGCUGAGGAGCGAAAGCGUGGGGAGCGAACAGGAUUAGAUACCCUGGUAGUCCACGCCGUAAACGGUGGGUACUAGGUGUGGGUUUCCUUCCUUGGGAUCCGUGCCGUAGCUAACGCAUUAAGUACCCCGCCUGGGGAGUACGGCCGCAAGGCUAAAACUCAAAGGAAUUGACGGGGGCCCGCACAAGCGGCGGAGCAUGUGGAUUAAUUCGAUGCAACGCGAAGAACCUUACCUGGGUUUGACAUGCACAGGACGCGUCUAGAGAUAGCGUCCUU
rnacentral:rRNA from 1 species